CGAAGGUACUUUCAAAUUUAGAUUUUUGGAGCUUAAGUGUAAUUUCCAAAAGUUAGAAUAAAAGGGGAAGUUUAAGAGAAUAUUAAGAGUUUUUUUUUUUAUUGUAUUUUGUGGGCAGAAGUAUGAAAUUCAGAAGGUACUUUCAAAUUUAGAAUUUUGGAGCCUAAGUGGGAAAUCAGUGGGUAUGUUGUUGUUGUUGUUGGAGCUCUAGUGUAAUUUUCAAAAGUUAGAAUAAAAGGGGAGGGUGUCGAUUGAUUGUUUUGGCCAGUUGGUUAGAAAACUAGCUUGUGUGGUUAAGGUUUACACAAUCUCAGAAGAAAAGAAUGAAAAAAGAAACGGGAGAGCGUCGAUUGAUUGUUUUGGCCAAUUGGUUAGAAAACUAGCUUGUGUGGUUAGGGCGUACACAACCUCAGAAGAAAAGAAUGAAGAAAGAAAUGGGAGAGCGUCGAUUUAUUGUUUUGGCCAAUUGGUUAGAAAACUAGCUCGUGUGAUCAAGGCUUGCACAACCUCGUAAGAAAAGAAUGAAAAAAGAAAUGAUGUCUUCAGCAUGAGCUAGCUCUUAGCUUGGCCCAAUUGGCUAGAAAACUAGCUUGUGUAGUUAAGGCUGUUGUACACAACCUCAUAAGAAAAGAAUGCAAAGAGAAAACUAUGU
rnacentral:lncRNA from 1 species